rnacentral:rRNA from 1 species
GAUGAACGCUAGCUACAGGCUUAACACAUGCGAGUCGAGGGGAAACGGCAUUGAGUGCUUGCACUCUUUGGACGUCGACCGGCGCACGGGUGAGUAACGCGUAUCCAACCUUCCCAUUACUGUGGGAUAACCUGCCGAAAGGCAGACUAAUACCGCAUAGUCUUCGAUGACGGCAUCAGAUUUGAAGUAAAGAUUUAUCGGUAAUGGAUGGGGAUGCGUCUGAUUAGCUUGUUGGCGGGGUAACGGCCCACCAAGGCUACGAUCAGUAGGGGUUCUGAGAGGAAGGUCCCCCACAUUGGAACUGAGACACGGUCCAAACUCCUACGGGAGGCAGCAGUGAGGAAUAUUGGUCAAUGGACGGAAGUCUGAACCAGCCAAGUAGCGUGCAGGAUGACGGCCCUAUGGGUGGUAAACUGCUUUUGUAUGGGGAUAAAGUUAGGGACGUGUCCCUAUUUGCAGGUACCAUACGAAUAAGGACCGGCUAAUUCCGUG